rnacentral:rRNA from 1 species
AGAGUUUGAUCCUGGCUCAGAGUGAACGCUGGCGGCGUGCUUAACACAUGCAAGUCGAACGAUGAAGCUCUUGCUUGCAAGAGUCCUGUAAAUAGGGAUUUUGUGAAGAUCGCUGGAUUAGUGGCGCACGGGUGAGUAAUGUAUAGCUAACCUGCCCUUCAGAGGGGGACAACAGUUGGAAACGACUGCUAAUACCCCAUAUUCCGUUAAAACAAAAGUUUUAAUGGGAAAACUCCGGUGCUGAGGGAUGGGGCUAUAUUGUAUCAGCUAGUUGGUGAGGUAAUGGCUCACCAAGGCAAUGACGCAUAGCUGGUCUGAGAGGAGAGUCAGCCACACUGGAACUGAGACACGGCCCAUACUUCUACGGAAGGCAGCAGUUAGGAAUUUUGCGCAAUGGACGAAAGUCUGACGCAGCGACAUCGCGUGUAGGAUGACGGCCCUCGGGUUGUAAACUACUUUUAUUCGAUCAUGAAGAUCUUAUGAAUAAGCAACUACUAACUACGUGCCAGCAGUCGCGGUAAUACGUAGGUUGCAAGCGUUACCCGGUUUUAUUGGGCGUAAAGAGUCUGUAGGUGGCUCUCUAAGUCCUAUUUCAAAGACCCUGACUCAAUCAGGGGAAGGGGUAGGAUACUGGAGAACUAGAGUUAUAUCGGGGUUACUGGAAUUUAUAGUGUAGGGGUAAAAUCCGUGGAUACUAUAAAGAACACCAAGCGCGAAGGCAGGUAACCAGGUAUAUACUGACACUCAGAGACGAAAGCUAGGGUAGCCAAUCAGAUUAGAGACCUGAGUAGUCCUAGCCGUAAACAUUGUCUGUUAAUUUUUCUUGAUUUUUCGGGAGAGAUGUAAGCUAACGCGUUAAACAGACCGCCUGGGGAGUAUAGCCGCAAGGCCGAAACUCAAACGAAUUGGCGGGGAGGCGCACAACCAGUGGAGCAUGUGGUUUAAUUCGAUACGAAGCGAUAAACCUUACCUGGGUUUGAAAUGUAUCUGCAUGAUCUAAGAAACUAGAUCGGUCCUUCGAGGGUGAUACACGGCUGUUGCAUGGCUGUCGUCAGCUCGUGACGUGAGUUGUUCUCUUAAGUGAGGUAACGAGCGCAACCCCUAUCGUAUGUUAUCGUGUCAUACGAGACUGCCCAGCAUUAUUUUGUUGGGAGGAAGGAGGGGACGACGUCAAGUCAUCAUGAUGCUUAUAUCCAGGGCUACACACAUCCUACAAUGGGUUGUACAGAGGGUUGCAAGACCGCAAGGUGGAGCUAAUCCCUAAAACAUCCCUCAGUUGGGAUUGCAGGCUGAAAUUCGCCUGCAUGAACUUGGAAUUGGUAGUAAUCGCAAAUCAGCAGAUUGCGGUGAAUACGUUCUCGCCUCUUGCACACACUGCCCGUCAAAUCAACAAAGUUGGGGGUACCCAAAGCUUCACAUUUUGUGGGGUUAAGGUAAAUCCAGCGAUGAGGGUUAAGUCGUAACAAGGUAGCCGUA